GCUACGGGAGGCAGCAGUGAGGAAUAUUGGUCAAUGGGCGCGAGCCUGAACCAGCCAAGUAGCGUGAAGGAUGACUGCCCUACGGGUUGUAAACUUCUUUUAUAAAGGAAUAAAGUGAGGCACGUGUGCCUUUUUGUAUGUACUUUAUGAAUAAGGAUCGGCUAACUCCGUGCCAGCAGCCGCGGUAAUACGGAGGAUCCGAGCGUUAUCCGGAUUUAUUGGGUUUAAAGGGAGCGUAGAUGGGUUGUUAAGUCAGUUGUGAAAGUUUGCGGCUCAACCGUAAAAUUGCAAUUGAUACUGGCAGCCUUGAUUACAGUUGCGGUCGGCUGCAUUCGUGGUGUAGCGGUGCAAUGCUUCGAUAUCACGAAGAACUCCGAUUGCGACGGCAGCCUACUAAACUGCCCCUGACAUUGAUGCUCGAAAGUGUGGGUAUCAAACAGGAUUAGAUACCCCAGUAGUC
rnacentral:rRNA from 1 species